GACGAACGCUGGCGGCGUGCUUAACACAUGCAAGUCGAACGGUGAAGGGGAGCUUGCUCCCCGGAUCAGUGGCGAACGGGUGAGUAACACGUGGGCAACCUGCCCCAGACUUCGGGAUAACGCUUCGAAAGAGGUGCUAAUACCGGAUACGAACUCCUUGGGCAUCCUGGGCGUUGGAAAGUUUUUCGGUCUGGGAUGGGCCCGCGGCCUAUCAGCUAGUUGGUGAGGUAACGGCUCACCAAGGCGACGACGGGUAGCCGGCCUGAGAGGGCGACCGGCCACACUGGGACUGAGACACGGCCCAGACUCCUACGGGAGGCAGCAGUGGGGAAUAUUGCGCAAUGGGCGAAAGCCUGACGCAGCAACGCCGCGUGAGGGAUGACGGCCUUCGGGUUGUAAACCUCUUUCAGCAGGGAAGAAGCGAAAGUGACGGUACCUGCAGAAGAAGCACCGGCUAACUACGUGCCAGCAGCCGCGGUAAAAC
rnacentral:rRNA from 1 species